rnacentral:rRNA from 1 species
GGGGAAUUGUUCACAAUGGGCGCAAGCCUGAUGACGCAAUGCCGCGUGGAGGAUGAAGGUCUUCGGAUUGUAAACUCCUGUUGCCAGGGACGAAUGGCUCCGACCUAAUACGUCGGAGAAUGACGGUACCUGGUGAGGAAGCCCCGGCUAACUCUGUGCCAGCAGCCGCGGUAAUACAGAGGGGGCAAGCGUUGUUCGGAAUUACUGGGCGUAAAGGGCGCGUAGGCGGCCCGCUAAGUCGAACGUGAAAUCCCCAGGCUCAACCUGGGAACUGCGUCCGAUACUGGCGGGCUUGAAUCCGGGAGAGGGAUGUGGAAUUCCAGGUGUAGCGGUGAAAUGCGUAGAUAUCUGGAGGAACACCGGUGGCGAAGGCGGCAUCCUGGACCAACACUGACGCUGAGUGAGCGAAAGCCAGGGGAGCAAA